UACGUAGGGUGCAAGCGUUAAUCGGAAUUACUGGGCGUAAAGCGUGCGCAGGCGGUUGUGCAAGACAGAUGUGAAAUCCCCGGGCUCAACCUGGGAAUUGCAUUUGUGACUGCACGGCUAGAGUGUGUCAGAGGGGGGUAGAAUUCCACGUGUAGCAGUGAAAUGCGUAGAUAUGUGGAGGAAUACCGAUGGCGAAGGCAGCCCCCUGGGAUAACACUGACGCCUCAUGCACGAAAGCGUGGGGAGCAAACAGG
rnacentral:rRNA from 1 species